rnacentral:rRNA from 1 species
AGAGUUUGAUCCUGGCUCAGGAUUAACGCUAGCGGCAGGCCUAAUACAUGCAAGUCGAACGGUAACAUGGGUAGCAAUAUCUGAUGACGAGUGGCGCACGGGUGCGUAACGCGUAUGUAAUCUGCCUCUAACUGGGGGAUAGCCUUCCGAAAGGAAGAUUAAUACCGCAUAAUAUAAUGAAGAGGCAUCUUUUUGUUAUCAAAACUCUGGUGGUUAGAGAUGAACAUGCGUGACAUUAGCUAGUUGGUGAAGUAAUAGCUCACCAAGGCUACGAUGUCUAGGGGGUCUGAGAGGAUGAUCCCCCACACUGGUACUGAGACACGGACCAGACUCCUACGGGAGGCAGCAGUAAGGAAUAUUGGACAAUGGGGGCAACCCUGAUCCAGCCAUGCCGCGUGAAGGAUUAAGGCCCUAUGGGUUGUAAACUUCUUUUAUAAGGGAAAAAACCUCUCUACGUGUAGAGAGUUGAUGGUACUUUAUGAAUAAGGGUCGGCUAACUUCGUG